ACUGGGGAGCUAAAGGCAAGAGGAAUAAGGCAAGUUUAAGGUCCAGGCUGGGCUUUAUAAAAAAAACCAAACCAAACUAGUACCCAUGGGUAGUCCCUCUUGUAUUUUGGGUUUGUUGAGUCCCCAUUCAAGUGAGGUUCAUUUCUUUCUUCUCUGGGAGAUCAUAGCUGGUCAUUAAGCACAUACUUAUCUUCUUUAUUCCCUUCUGCCAGGUACCAAGGACCUCAUCUAAUUUGAAUUUAAGGUGUGUUUUUUUUUAAGGUGUAACUAUGCUUCUGUAUACAAGAUGAAUGAGUUCAUGUACUACAGUUACAGUAUGUACCCCCAGCCCCCAACCCCUGUCAUUUUUAUUUGAAGAGAGCAGCAGUUCGACUGUUAGGGAAGACUGGAGUGGGUUCCUCUGUUCUCAGGAACCAUUAGCUGUGUAUCGCCUGAGUGCACUCUGCGUUCUGAAACCUCCGCUGGCCGUCCUGUCCUGCUGGAGCCCCUCAGAGUUUGCCUAACCGGCCGCCCGCUUUCUCCUCGGGAACCGUGGUUCCCUGGCGUGCUGCCCUCCUGGGAACAGACAGAGAGGGGCCGGUUCUGGAAGGCACGCGAAGGUAGCCUUGUGUCGCAGUGUCCCCGCUGCUGCCCUCGAAGGCGUGCAUCCCAACCGAGGGGGAGGGCGGGCUCGCGCCCCGUCGGCCACCACGCGGCGGGAACUCGAGGCCCCAUUGGCCACACCGGAGGGCGUGCCGGGACUCGUGCGCCAACGGUCCGGGCCUCGGCGGCCGGGCGCUGGCAGGAGGGGGCAGGGCGCAGCGAAGGCCCGGGGGAUCGAGAACGGUGGGAGAGCCAGGCUCGGCGGGGCGAGGCCCAGGGCCCGGGCGGGCGAUGGAGGAGGCGCUGCUGUCCACCCCCAUCAACCCCAACAACUUCCCCGCCAAGCUGUGGCGGCUGGUGAACAGCCCUCGGUACCGCUCCAUCCGCUGGGACGGCCGAGGCGAGGGGCUGCUCAUCGACCAGCCGCUCUUCGAGGCCGAGCUGCUCAGCCCGCCCGGCCCGGGUGCCGGGGGCGCGGGGGGAGCCGGGAGCAGCGGCGGGGGCGGCGGCAGCGGCGUCGGGGCGGCCGGGGCCGAGCCGGAGCUCUUCAAAACCACCAACUUCACCAGCUUCAUCCGCCAGCUCAACCUCUACGGCUUCCGCAAGGUGGUGCUGGGUGGGCCGGGGGCGGCGGGGCCCGGGCCCGGGCCUGGGGCUGGCGGGCCGGCGGGCGACGGGCCACUCCACCACUUCCACAGCCCGCAUUUCCGCCGCGACCAGCCUCAGCUGCUCGUUCACCUCAAGAGGCUCACCAGUGCCAACAAGGCCAAGCUGGCGGCCGGACUGGAGGUGCCCUGUCGCCCGCCCAACCGCUUCCAGCGGCUCCUCAUCACGUCAGCCUCCGCCUCGGCCUCAGCUUCUACCUCCCCGCUGCAGCAUCAGGACCCGCCGCCCCAACCUGCUGGGCCUCGGCCAGAGCAGCAUGGACCAGUGGCUGUAGGACAAUUUCACCGGUCAUUCCGGCGAGAUAAUUUGUCUCCUUAUUCCUACGUAUCAACUUCAUCCCACAACCACAGCGCUUUCCCUCUGAAAGGUUUAGAUCGCACCCCGAUUCCUCCCAGAACGUGGCAGAACUCCCUUGGAAUGCACCCUGGACAAGUGGAGACGUCUCCCACUUUUUCAGAUAAAGGGGUUCCAUUUCCUGUACUGCAGAGAUUUCCAACUGAGGUUACAUAUACGCUGCAGCCCAGCGCCACAUCUGUACACGUUCAACAAGGUCCUCAAACGAUGGUCAGCUCCUCCCAAAAAUAUAGUAACUACACACCCUCAGCGCAGUACUCCCAAGCCUACUAUCCAACAGCUGUGCUGCAGUGCUGCUCUCCUCCCACCCACAUGGACGCCCUCAGCAGCUGUGUCACUCCUACUGCCUCUUCCUAUGCACACUGUAAUUACUUCCAGCUCAACCUUUGGAAAAUAGCACAAUGCAGGAAUCUGCAACCAUCCAACAAACUCAUGUCAAACUGAAGGAGCAGCUAAAUCAUAACCCAUCUCCGUCUUCAGUAGUAUUUGUGCAGGAAGGGCUACCAUUCAGCACACCGCAGGUGGAUAGCAGUAUAAAAUGCCAGACCAAUCCCUCGGAGAAUAUCUUGCCUUCAGAACAAAUGGGAUUCCUUAUUUCAGAAAUGGGGCCUGCUAACAAGUCUACUAAAGACACAGGUUUAUCCACUCCAGCUAGAUACAGAGAGCGAAGAAGCAACUCACAAGGAAAGUCCCCUGAUCUUCAUCUGCUGGUGGACGUGGCCUGCAAGCAGGAACACUUCCCAAAGGAGGAGGAGUUAAAAGAAUGAGAAGCUGGGUGACAGCCGUGACAUCGUGCGCUAGCCACAGCUGGAGGGGACAGGCGCUGCACAUGACACACUGUUGGGAGUUUUUCAGUUCUGUUAAGGAAAAAAAAAAGCAUCUUUUUUGUUUUUGUUAAUUGAGAUUUUGUUAAAUUGGAAAUUGGGAGUUUGAUAUUCACUCCAACUGUUCAGUCCAGAUCGCUUACCUUGGCAAACUGCUAAACAGCUAGCGGCCUUUUUUUUUUUUUUUUAAUUUUUUUUAUGCUGCCCAGAUUCCUUUCAAAUGAAAAGUCCUGGCCUUCAAGAAGCAUCUAAAAACUACUGUGUUGAUGGUACUGGAGCAGUGUGUGUGCUGAGUCGUGAUGCCAUCUUGAACUGUAGUCAGCACAGUGUCGCCUGUCUGGAGUCACAGUGUGACCCUUUAAGGAAGAGGGUAUGAUAAACCAAGACACAAGAGGUCACCAAUAGCACAAGUCCAAGCGGGUCAGGGCCCCGGGAGGACGCUGGAAAACGCUCGUUUUCUAAGUGAGUAACCAAGAACGGGCUCUUGAUUCUGAACCCACGUCCUGUUUGAAGAGCAAGGCAUCCGGACUUGGCCCAUCCAUCACACUAACAGCCUCUGAGUCUUUAAUAUUCAUGGGAGUGUUUUUUCCCAUUUUCAUGUCUUUCUUUAAUUUGAAUGAUAAAUUAUCAUAAAUAGUAAGAAAGUUUUGUUAAUAUCACUUACAUAAAUGUCUUCUAAAGAAAAAUAUUUAAUUUGUUUAAUUAUAUUUAUAAAUGCUGAUAGAUGUAAAAGUUUUAAAGCUUUGUGUUUGUAUUAACAUUGCAGAGUGGAAGGAUUAAAGGACGCAUGUGUAAUUUUAUGUUUGAAGGGUAAAUGUACAAUAUGUAGACAAAAGCACUGAGAGGUUAACACUGUUUUCUUAUUUUAGAUUUUUACAUUCAGCUAGUAUAGAUUCUCAUCUAUAAGGGGUAUUGUGUGCAAAUCUGGGGGGAAAUUGCUUGGUAUCAUUUACUGGAAGCUAUGCUGUAAUUUGAAACAAACCUAUAUUUGAAAUAUUAAAUGGCUUAAGCUUCUGAGAGACUUUUGGACAGUGGAGUAGACUAUCACCAAUUUUCUUAUCCCUCUGUUGGACUGUGCACUUGAGUAGUCGAAUUGUGGGGCUGUUUUUAAGGAGAAGGAGGAGAUUUUAGAUGUCCAGUUUUUGUAGCCAAUCCAUGUCCACCCAGUGACAGCAAGAACUUUUGUAAUUUAAUGGAUUUUCAGGACUAGAACUUUCUUGCUGAAUACCCCCCCACCCCCACACACACACCCAGUUUCCUAAUAAGCGCUGCAGAAAUAAAAGGAAAGGUCUGUGGAUUUAAAGCUAAUGAAGCAAGCAGCGCUUCAGUGGCAUUGCCACUGUACCAGCCAUUGCAGGUUCACAGCUCACUUCCUGCUUUGCGCUGGGCCUUCCCAAUGGCAUUAGACCCAGAAGUGUCGCAGAGGUCGAGCUGCUCUGGAGGGUGAGCUCUGGAUUAGUCCACAGCGACUCAGUUUAAUUUUGAAACUAGGUUUUGAAAAAUGACUCUCUGACCAUCUAAUUAGACUAUUUGUGCUCCUUCCUGGGCACCUAAUCAUCUUUACUAGGGAGGCUUGAAAGAUACCCAGACGAUUGAGACGUCUACAUCUAUCUGUGCCAAAUGUCUUGGCAAAAUAUGUGAAAAGGAGACCGGCUUCUAAUGAAGGACCUUUGCCUUUUCUCUGUCACAUUGAAGAGCUGGUAAGCUGUGUAGGUGAUAGUUCUUCCCCUCGAGAUGCCUUUCUUAGCCUUGUGGCUAUGGAAAGAGGUAAUACCUUUAGAGGAACGUGUGUCAGGCAGAGCCUUGGCACAGACAUGGUUUCAGUGGUCUUCAGGCUUGAUCGAUGAGAUGCCUUGAUCUGCUCUCCAAACGUUUUUACAGACGAGCAUACCAGAUAGAGGAGCUGGAUCUCCUGCUCUGCUCACUGCCUGGAGCCCAUCUCCUAAAGCCAUCGUCAGUGACUUGUGCAAAUAGCAAGCAGUCAAGUGGAAUGUGCAUGUGAACAAGCCAGCAGGGCCUGACACACACUUGAGUUCCUGUCUAGCACAUUCGCGUUUCAGCACCUUAAGCACCGAUCAGUUUCAGUCAGUCAACAAUAAAAUGAAUGUUCCAACUAGA